rnacentral:rRNA from 1 species
UACGUAGGGUGCGAGCGUUAAUCGGAAUUACUGGGCGUAAAGCGUGCGCAGGCGGUUUUGUAAGCCAGAUGUGAAAUCCCCGGGCUUAACCUGGGAAUGGCAUUUGGGACUGCAAGGCUUGAGUGCGGCAGAGGAGACUAGAAUUCCUGGUGUAGCAGUGAAAUGCGUAGAUAUCAGGAGGAAUACCGAUGGCGAAGGCAGGUCUCUGGGCUGACACUGACGCUCAUGCACGAAAACGUGGGGAGCAAACAGG